AUGAGUGGGUAAAAAGAAGUGAUCAAGGGCAUAACUUGCUUGGGACUUGAGAUUCCAGGCACCAACUUGCUCUUCAGAUGACACGUGUCCUCACGCUAGUCGUAGCAUUACAAACAAACAGUGUAUAGGCAAAAUUAACAUUACACCAAACAUAAGGAUAAACUGUAUAAUUAUGAUCUACGCAUUGCUACAAUAUCGUAGAAACAAGAACCCCUAAAUUCGGAGCUACGAAUAUUGAGUUAUGAAUUUCUAAAAUCAUUUAGCACCUAGAAUAGAUUAAUUCAAUUGAGCAAUUUUAAUUCAAGUUUCAUGGUUAAACAAAGGUACUAGGUGAUAAACAAUAUUAAUACAAAAUUAUUGCAACUAGAAUGACUCAAUUUGGAGUUAAAAUGAAUUAACUAUGAAUUUCCUAAGUUUGGGAUAUUAUUUUGCAUUAAAAAGAAUUUCUGAAUUAAAUCCAAUAGUUUUCUGAGUUACUUGGACUGCGACCACUAUUUAACAGAAACCCAGGGGGUUCUGUGCAAAAGACACCAAGACUCAGAACUCCCAUAGUGUGGACUGCGGGUUGUUUUAACACAAGUACAGGGGCUCUUAUGCAAUUAUCCAAGGCCGAAGGGGUAUGCUAGGAUCCGAGCCACAGGAUUAGAAACCGAGGGCUAGGAUUAGUUCAGCCAAACACUGAACCAGUAGGUUUUCUGGGCCACAGGAUUGAGGAUCGACAGUCCAGAUUUAAUGAUUUGAAGGGAUGCGCCGGGAUUUGAUCUAGGCCAUUCAACGCAUGAUCAACGGUUGAAGGCCAAUACGAGCUAGAUCUAAUCCUAGCCAAAUACCGCUGAUCCAACGGCCAGACCACUUUCUUCUUCCCUUGGCCGUACCCAGCGACGGCGCAGGGGCACCGCACCGGUGAGCAUGCGCCCAACGCCCCAGAGCAAGAUUCCCAGUGCCGAUAGGUAAUACACGUUCUACGGAGCAUAUUGAACUGAUUACGGUGGGGCUUACUUGGAUAGGGUGGCGGUAGCGAUGUUGCCCACACAGCACAGCGGGUCAACGGCGGGGCACCAACCCCGUCAAGAAAUCCGGGCGAGCCAAGGUAGUUUCCCCAUCCGAGAUGUCCACGAGCAAAUCACUGGGGUUCGAUGAAGUUCUCUGCCCAAGAGCCCGAGCGAUGGUACGCCACGGUUCCGCCCACGGCGGCGCUACACUUCCCCUGGUUCGACGGUGGAGGUUCUCCGUUCUCCCUCUGUCUAUUUCUGGCGAGGCGCUUCCUACUGGGAUGGGGUGAGGAGAAUAGGUCGCGGGGCCAGAUUUAUAGCCUGGGGCGAGGACGAG
rnacentral:lncRNA from 1 species